GUCUUUUUGAAUAAUAAUUUAAAGUCUAAUCUGCCCACUGAUACUUAAAUAUAUUAAAGGGCUGCAGUAUUAUGACUGUACAAAGGUAGCAUAAUCAAUAGUUUUUUAAUUGGAAACUUGUAUGAAAGAUUUGAUGAAAUAUAAACUGUCUCUAAUUUAUUAUUAAAAAUUUAUUUUUUAGUAAAAAAGCUAAAAUAAUUUUAAAAGACGAGAAGACCCUAUAGAGUUUUAUAUUUUAUUUUAUUUUUAAAUUAUAUAAAAAUUAAUUUAAAAAUAAAGUAAAGUAUUAUAUUGGGGUGAUAAAAAAAUUUAAUAAACUUUUUUUAAAAAAUUAACAUAUAAAUAAAUGAAAAAUUGAUCCAUUAUUAAUGAUUAUAAGAAAAAAUUACCUUAGG
rnacentral:rRNA from 1 species